AAGAUUGGUGGUUAGCAUUGAUUAUGGAGGUUUAAUCUUCCUUGAUUCAAAUCUAAUUCAUCUUGAUCAUGGAUCAAGUGAGUGGCUUUGAGUUAAGGAUAGAUUGCUUUCUAAAUCAUGCAAAGGACCUAAAUCAAUACAAGAUCAUUUCUCAUCUUCUUUUUGGCAUGGCAAGUUGUUGGAGUUUGAUUCACUAAUCAAG
rnacentral:lncRNA from 1 species